rnacentral:rRNA from 1 species
UGUGCCAGCAGCCGCGGUAAUACAGAGGGUGCAAGCGUUAAUCGGAAUUACUGGGCGUAAAGCGAGCGUAGGUGGCUUGAUAAGUCAGAUGUGAAAGCCCCGGGCUUAACCUGGGAACGGCAUCUGAUACUGUUAGGCUAGAGUAGGUGAGAGGAAGGUAGAAUUCCAGGUGUAGCGGUGAAAUGCGUAGAGAUCUGGAGGAAUACCGAUGGCGAAGGCAGCCUUCUGGCAUCAUACUGACACUGAGGUUCGAAAGCGUGGGUAGCAAACAGGAUUAGAUACCCUGGUAGUCCACGCCGUAAACGAUGUCUACUAGUCGUUGGGUCCCUUGAGGACUUAGUGACGCAGCUAACGCAAUAAGUAGACCGCCUGGGGAGUACGGCCGCAAGGUUAAAACUCAAAUGAAUUGACGGGGGCCCGCACAAGCGGUGGAGCAUGUGGUUUAAUUCGAUGCAACGCGAAGAACCUUACCUGGUCUUGACAUAUCUAGAAUCCUGCAGAGAUGCGGGAGUGCCUUCGGGAAUUAGAAUACAGGUGCUGCAUGGCUGUCGUCAGCUCGUGUCGUGAGAUGUUGGGUUAAGUCCCGCAACGAGCGCAACCCUUGUCCUUAGUUACCAGCGGUUUGGCCGGGAACUCUAAGGAUACUGCCAGUGACAAACUGGAGGAAGGCGGGGACGACGUCAAGUCAUCAUGGCCCUUACGACCAGGGCUACACACGUGCUACAAUGGUAGGUACAGAGGGCAGCUACACAGCGAUGUGAUGCGAAUCUCAAAAAGCCUAUCGUAGUCCAGAUUGGAGUCUGCAACUCGACUCCAUGAAGUAGGAAUCGCUAGUAAUCGCGGAUCAGAAUGCCGCGGUGAAUACGUUCCCGGGCCUUGUACACACCGCCCGUCACACCAUGGGAGUUGAUUGCACCAGAAGUGGUUAGCCUAACCUUUUAGGAAGGCG